ACCUUAGAGACCAACUAAGUUUGUUAUUGGUAUGAGCUUUUGUGUGCAUGCACACUUCUUCAGAUACGCAUGCACACGAAAGCUCAUACCAAUAACAAACUUAGUUGGUCUCUAAGGU